CAUGGUUGUCGUCAGCUCGUGUCGUGAGAUGUUGGGUUAAGUCCCGCAACGAGCGCAACCCUUGAUUUUAGUUGCCAGCAUUUAGUUGGGCACUCUAAAGUGACUGCCGGUGCAAGCCGGAGGAAGGUGGGGAUGACGUCAAAUCAUCAUGCCCCUUAUGACCUGGGCUACACACGUGCUACAAUGGAUAGUACAAAGGGUCGCGAAGCCGCGAGGUGGAGCUAAUCCCAUAAAACUAUUCUCAGUUCGGAUUGUAGGCUGCAACUCGCCUACAUGAAGCCGGAAUCGCUAGUAAUCGUGGAUCAGCAUGCCACGGUGAAUACGUUCCCGGGCCUUGUACACACCGCCCGUCACACCACGAGAGUUUGUAACACCCGAAGUCGGUAGGGUAACCUUUAUGGAGCCAGCCGCCGAAGGUGGGACAGAUAAUUGGGGUGAAGUCGUAACAAGGUAGCCGUAUCGGAAGGUGCGGCUGGAUCACCUCCUUUCUAAGGAA
rnacentral:rRNA from 2 species